AUUACAAAUUGAUCCAAGCUAGUCGUUAACUUCCUCAUGGGAACGAUGUUGAUACUCUGAGUGAAAUUGACAUUUAAAUGUUCUGAGCAUAGCAUUAUACAACACAUCAGUUGAUAGA